rnacentral:tRNA from 1 species
AUUAUAUAGAAGUAAAAGUUUACGUUUAAUUUCGACUUAAAUAAUUAGGAGUAGAUUUCCUCAUAUAA